rnacentral:lncRNA from 1 species
GAGGAAACCCACAUACUCAGGUCUGCCAUGUGCCAAGAAACGUGCCCUCCUGGAACCUUCUGGAACAAGGAAAUGUAUUUAAGUGCAGCUGAGGGAAAUGCCUUCCAGAGGACAGGGAGCUUCAAGCCAAGCUUUGAAGAUGAGAGACCUGUGAAGCCAAGGACUGAGGCUGUAAGGAGGCCCACUCCUAGCCUUGCUCCCAAGUGAGCCCAGAGAGAAAGAAAGUGCCUACAAUGGAGGGCUCAGUCCUGGGAACCUCUCCUCUCCAGCUCAAAGUCCGUGGCUUUCUCCUUUUUUGAGCACUUUAACUAGACCCACCACAAAGUGCUGUCACCCUUGGUGUCAUUCCAAGGAUAUCCCACACCAUUUCCUACACAUUUGACCAAAAUGGACACCUUCUCACGGCCACACCACUGCUUGGUCUCUUCUCUAUGCCUAGAAUUGCCUUCACCCACUUUGCUACUUAUUGAAUUCUCUAUGAUCCUUGAAGGACCGCCUUAGAUGCCAUGAAUGCUGGCGUAAUGCCCAUCAAGAAGAUCCCUUCCCCCUCAUCCUUCCCUUAUGGAAUCUAAGGUUCCCCAUCUGUAAAAAUGUCCUAAUAAUGGUGCAAGCACCUACUCACAGGAUUGUCAGGAGGCGCAAAAGAGAACAGACGUGCACGUGCAUGUAUACACAUUUAUGAUGAUGCCUGGCAAACAAACUUCCUUCAAGCUCUGUAUGUGUCAGCCAUUGCUUUAAUGACCCUUUCUUUGCAUCUCUAAUGGACUCGUAAAGCAUGAGAAGACCAGUGAUUUUGCAAUCACACGACCUGGAUUCCCAUUCUUAGCUAUGCCAACGUUCACCUAUGUGACUCUGCCUUGUUGCUUCAUUUCACGGGGCCUCAGUUUCCUGAUCUGUAAAUGAGGGCCUUAGGUUAGAUGAAGGGAUGAAUGAAGGGGAAAGCAUUGAAAGGCUUGCCAUGUGCCAAGCACUGGGGAUCCAAGUAGCAAAGGCAGACAGCCGUGCUCUUAGGGGAGACCCCCCACAAAUGAGGUAGGUCGCAAUGGGCAGACGUGAAGCAUCUACUUUCCUGGCAUUUCCGGCGAUGAAACCAUACCUCUUUCUGAUGUCUUCAUACUUGAGUUUGAACCAGGCGCGCGCAUGUUGAAAUCUUUCUUGGCUGGCUUUUCGAUGUCUGCUGGACAGCUUGGGCCUGCAGUAGCCUCCA